AGAGACAGCAGUCGCCACGGUAAUACAGAGGGUGCGAGCGUUAAUCGGAUUUACUGGGCGUAAAGCGUGCGUAGGCGGCUUCUUAAGUCGGAUGUGAAAUCCCUGAGCUUAACUUAGGAAUUGCAUUCGAUACUGGGAAGCUAGAGUAUGGGAGAGGAUGGUAGAAUUCCAGGUGUAGCGGUGAAAUGCGUAGAGAUCUGGAGGAAUACCGAUGGCGAAGGCAGCCAUCUGGCCUAAUACUGACGCUGAGGUACGAAAGCAUGGGGAGCAAACAGGAUUAGAUACCCCGGUAGUCCCUGUCUCUUAUAC
rnacentral:rRNA from 1 species